AAGACUAUACUUUUAGGGAUCAUUUCUAUAGUUUGUUACUAGAGAAAUCUCACUGAUCGUGUAGAGUAGCCUAAACCAUGAGGAGGAGACGCGUGUUCUCUCCUGAGCGUAAAGCUGGCUCUAGGUGUUGUUUUAUUACAACUGCUUUUUGCCAUUGACGAUCGUUCUUCUCUUCCUCUGGGGAGAGUAAGAGGGAGAGGACGCAGUCUGAGUGGC